rnacentral:rRNA from 1 species
UAGGGAAUCUUCCACAAUGGACGCAAGUCUGAUGGAGCAACGCCGCGUGAGUGAAGAAGGUUUUCGGACCGUAAAGCUCUGUUGUUGGUGAAGAAGGAUAGAGGUAGUAACUGGCCUUUAUUUGACGGUAAUCAACCAGAAAGUCACGGCUAACUACGUGCCAGCAGCCGCGGUAAUACGUAGGUGGCAAGCGUUGUCCGGAUUUAUUGGGCGUAAAGCGAGCGCAGGCGGAAGAAUAAGUC